rnacentral:rRNA from 1 species
GGUGAUCGUGAUUAUUGGGUCUAAGGGUCCGUAGCCGGUUUGGUCAGUCCUCCGGGAAAUCUGAUAGCUCAACUAUUAGGCUUUCGGGGGAUACUGCCAGACUGGAACCGGGAGAGGUAAGAGGUACUACAGGGGUAGGAGUGAAAUCUUGUAAUCCCUGUGGGACCACCUGUGGCGAAGGCGUCUUACCGAGAACGGGUUCGACGGUGAGGGACGAAAGCUGGGGGCACGAACCGGAUUAGAUACCCGGGUAGUCCCAGCCGUAAACGAUGCUCGCUAGGUGUCAGGCAUGGCGCGACCGUGUCUGGUGCCGCAGGGAAGCCGUGAAGCGAGCCACCUGGGAAGUACGGCCGCAAGGCUGAAACUUAAAGGAAUUGGCGGGGGAGCACAACAACGGGUGGAGCCCUGCGGUUUAAUUGGACUCAACGCCGGACAACUCACCGGGGGCGACAGCAAUAUGUAGGCCAAGCUGAAGACUUUGCCUGAAUCGCUGAGGAGUGGUGCAUGG